AAUCCUCACAGCCUUCCUGCAGGGCAGGGACAGCUGCCGCCCAUGCUACAGGUCCUGCUGUGCGGGGGGCCGGUGUCGUCACUUCAGAGGAAAGCACCUCCCCGAUGGCUCGUGGUCUCAGCGAGAUGUACCCAGCUUAUGUAAGACACGCGGUUGGCCGUGAUCACAUCAGGGCUGCCCUGGAAGGGGCCGGAACGGGGAGGGCCCGAGGCCAGACCAGUCCCACCGUCAGAGGCCCAGGCACUGUGUGUAGGAUGUGUGCAGGAGAGGCUGCAGCCUGGGAGUCCUCUCCAGCGCCACAGAAACCCAC